CUUCCCGUAAAAGAAAAAAUUCCCUCGGCACCCACCUUAUCCACUUCCCCCGCGUCCUCCCACGAUCCUCCCCGGCCAACCUCUCGCCGCCGCCUCCCUGGCUCCGGCGCGCCUCCCGCCGCUAGCCCCACGGCCCCGGCGUGCUUCUCCCGCUGCUUCCCUCGGCCCCGGUGCUCCCCCGCCGCCCGCCCGCCCUGGCCGCGACGCGCCUCCGCCGCUGCUCCGCCCACCCUGGCCCCGGCGCGCCUCCAUCCGUCGCCCCCCGAUGCGCCUCCCGCCGCCGCCCCCCGACGCGCCUCCCGCCGCCGCCCUUCCGGCCCCGACGCGCCUCCUGCUGCCUCCCUCCACCUGCUUCGACAACGGCGCCGGCCACCUCCACCUUCUUCCACCACUGCGCCGGCCACCCCCUCCUUCUUCCACCACGGUGCCGGCCUGCUCCUCCUUCCACCGCGCCUCCACCUCGCCGGCGACUACGAGCGCACGUGCGGAUUGGGCACUGCCUGCAGCUAGAGCAGACGUUGACCUACAGCUGGAGGAGGCCCCGACCUGCAACUGGUCGUGCGCGUCACUGCGACGCUCAGGCCGUCCAACUUCGCCAACCCAGGGAGUUCAACCCCCGCGCCCAAUCUUCCUUGGCCACAAAUUACAAUCGUCUUGCCAGCGUCGUUCAAGGUUCUCGGCCGCAGCUCCUCACUAGCGCAGAGCUUUGAGUCCAGACCCCUGCGCCAAAUAAAUGUCAUGCAGGCUCCUCCAAAAUAUUCAGGCGGCAAGUGUUCUUCAUGUUCUGGACUUGUGCCCCAGCUUCUUCUGAACUUCUGUUGAUUCAUACCUAAAUGAAUUUGCACUAUGGUUUUUCAUCAGCUUUUUGGUGAAAUAAUGCUUCCUGGAGGACUUCUCCAAAGACUUCCAGGUUCAGCAAUAGACAAGGAAGCUGCCCUUGACCAUUUUCUCAUGUACGGGUUGUAUGCAGCGUACAGAUAGACCUCCCCUGCCCGGCGGCUAUGGCGUGUGGCUGCCUAGCACAUCGUCGCCCCAAGUUUCAGAAAUCCUUCAGGGAAAAAUGCAAAAGAAAAAUGGAGCAGGAGUCGCAAGCCUCAAGCCUUCUCUCCACUUGGUGGCUUCUUGUUCUCAAAGCACAAGCUGCUGUUGCUACUAUUAGUAAACUACUUUUGCUCACUAUAAUGGGCUGAGGGGCGUUGCCCAACUGCAUGGAUGCUCGCCUGCUCACCGUGCGUCGCGACAGUCAACCCCGAAGCUGUCUGCAGGAGGAGCUUGCACCAGUCCUGCCUCUCCUUCGUCCAUUGCUCCAAGAGGCCAGGGCAGAAAAAUCGGUCAUCUUCUGAUGAGCCCUGCCCCAACAGGAACCUCUCUCCCUACCUCUCUUCGCUACUGAUGGGCACCAUAGUGCGAAGUUGAUGUAGAGAACAAGUUCUGGUUAUGUGCUCUGUACAUGCUUGUUGAUAUGUCAAUGAGAACCAACUUUUUUCUUCUUCAUGUUGUUGUGAUGAUGUUUGAUAGUUAAUAUUUUUGCAAGUACAAAACUCCAGGUUAUGAAAUUUUGAUGGACGUGAGACUUCUUUUGA